rnacentral:tRNA from 1 species
UGGGACCGUGGGGUAGCUUGGUAUCCUGCCAGCUUGGGGUGUUGGCAACUUGAGUUCAAAUCUCAACGGUCCCAUCCA